AGAGAUCAUGGCUCAGGACGAACGCUGGCGGCGUGCUUAACACAUGCAAGUCGAACGGUAAGGCCCCUUCGGGGGUACACGAGUGGCGAACGGGUGAGUAACACGUGAGCAACCUGCCCUUGACUCUGGGAUAACAGUUGGAAACAGCUGCUAAUACCGGAUACGACCUUCGAUGACAUCAUCUGGAGGUGGAAAGCGCUUUAGCGGUCAAGGAUGGGCUCGCGGCCUAUCAGCUUGUUGGUGAGGUAACGGCUCACCAAGGCUUCGACGGGUAGCCGGCCUGAGAGGGCGACCGGCCACACUGGGACUGAGAUACGGCCCAGACUCCUACGGGAGGCAGCAGUGGGGAAUAUUGCACAAUGGGCGCAAGCCUGAUGCAGCAACGCCGCGUGCGGGAUGACGGCCUUCGGGUUGUAAACCGCUUUCAGUUCCGACGAAGCGCAAGUGACGGUAGGAACAGAAGAAGGACCGGCCAACUACGUGCCAGCAGCCGCGGUGAUACGUAGGGUCCGAGCGUUGUCCGGAAUUAUUGGGCGUAAAGGGCUUGUAGGCGGUUUGUCACGUCGGAAGUGAAAACUCAGGGCUCAACCCUGAGCCUGCUUCCGAUACGGGCAAACUAGAGGAAUGCAGGGGAGAAUGGAAUUCCUGGUGGAGCGGUGGAAUGCGCAGAUAUCAGGAGGAACACCGGUGGCGAAGGCGGUUCUCUGGGCAUUUCCUGGCGCUGAGAAGCGAAAGCGUGGGGAGCAAACAGGCUUAGAUACCCUGGUAGUCCACGCCGUAAACGGUGGGCACUAGGUGUGGGGAACAUUCCACGUUCUCCGUGCCGAACCUAACGCAUUAGGUGCCCCGCCUGGGGAGUAGGAAUUGA
rnacentral:rRNA from 1 species